UUAAAUUUUCUUAUAUUGUAAAAAAAUUAUAGAUAAAAGUGGUCACAAUUAUUGUCACCCCUACUGGAGAAAGAAGAUUCUAAAUCAAUUAUUUGGAGCGUUCUACAUAGUGGCCAAAAUCAUGAUCACCAACUAUUUUUUAAAACCUAGCUACAGAGGAUAAAGUCGUUGCUUAAACAUCAUCUCGCCUAUAAAUAGACCCAAAUAAUUUGAGGUUCCAUACUUCAAAAUCCAAAUCUAGCGAUUAAUUAUAGUUUAGGCAGCAAAUUAUGGAAUCCCAUGAUGAGGAGCAUGCUGCCAAACUACUUAGAGCUCAAACCCACAUAUGGAAUCACAUAUUUAGCUUCAUAAACUCCAUGGUCCUUAAAUGUGUGGUUGACUUAGGCAUACCAGAUAUCAUACACAACUAUGGCCAACCCAUGCCACUCUCAAACCUCAUUGCUUCACUACCAAUCCACCCAUCCAAAACUUGCUUCGUCCAUCGCUUGAUGCGAAUCAUGAUCCAUUCUGGCUUCUUCUCUCAACAAAACCAUGACUUGGAGAAUGAGCUAGAAGCCAAGUAUGUGCUAACCGAUGCAUCUGUACUAUUGCUUAAGAACCAUCCGCUGAGUGUGACACCUUUCUUGCAUGCCAUGCUUGAUCCAGUUUUGACAAAUCCAUGGAAUCAAUUUUCUACUUGGUUCAAAAAUGGUGACCCUACACCAUUUGAAACGGCACAUGGGAAGAUGUUUUGGGAUUAUGCUGGCGCUGAUCCGAAACUUAAUCACUUGUUCAAUGAUGCCAUGGCAAGUGAUGCUCGAUUUGUCACUAGUUUGGUGAUUGAGAAAUGUAAGGGAGUGUUCAUGGGAUUGGAGUCAUUGGUUGAUGUUGGGGGAGGCACAGGGACCAUGGCAAAAGCCAUUGCUUAAUCAUUCCCUCGGGUGGAAUGCAUUGUGUUUGAUCUACCACAUGUUGUUUCUGGCUUGAAAGGAAGUGAGAACCUUAAAUAUGUUGCAGGGGACAUGUUUGAGGCAAUUCCUCCAGCUGAUGCCAUUCUGUUAAAGAUGAAUAGGUGGAUGACUAUGAAGAACCUCAUGCUAGAGGACACGGGAACAACGAAGUAUGAGACACACAAGCCUAUCGGCCUACUUCAGUCGUUACCCAUUCUUGUUGGUAUUUGGGAGGACAUGUCUUUUGACUUUAUUACUGGCCUCCCUCGGUUCCAAGAAUGCCAUCCAUCUUCAAUUACAAAGAGGUUUGCAGAAGGCUCAAGUGGCCAUGAAAUAAUACGCCAACAAUCACUGCUGCGAACUCUUAUUCAAGGAAAGAGAUUGGGUUUACGUGCAUCUCAGGCCCUACCAUCAACUCUCACUUCAACCGACCUAUUCCAAGCUAUCAAAGAGAUUCAAUGGCCCUUUCCAGGUAUCAGAACGUAUUGGCUCCAUCGUGUACCACCUCCAGUUGUCAUCAGACUACAGAAUACACCCAGUAUUUCAUGUAUCCAUGUUAAAACCACACCACAACCCACCGCCGACAACCCCAGGCACUCUUUCCCCCAUUAUAGGCUAACAAUCAUCCUGUGGUCAAGCCCUUUCAAUUUUGGACUGGAAGUGGAAUCAUACAACGUCGCCUCCUUCCAAAAUGGUGCUCGUCCAAUGGUGUGGCUUAUCCCUUGA